rnacentral:rRNA from 1 species
CAGCGAAAUGCGAUACCUAGUGUGAAUUGCAGAAUUCCGCGAAUCAUCGAGUCUUUGAACGCAAGUUGCGCCCGAGGCUUGUCCCGAGGGCAUGCCUGCCUGAGCGUCACCGCACUCCCACCCGACGAACCCUCGUCGCGAGUGGAACUGGCCGUCCGGGGUCGGGCGUCGAUGCCCAGUGCCGCGGUCGGCUGAAAUGGAGCGUUCCGGACGUAGCCGGAGAGGGGGAUAGCGAGAAGGUGAUCCGCCUUCGGGCGGAGUCUAUUUUGACAGCGUCCCUCGAUCCGGAGGGUCCCACGGAACUCGGAGCGGGAGCUCGCCCGGUCGAUCGUCCGCGGUCGAUCGGGAGAGUCACACCACGGCUCGGACCUCAGAUCAGGCAAGAUUACCCGCUGAGUUUAAGCAUAUCACU